rnacentral:rRNA from 3 species
CAGUGAAUCAUCGAAUCUUUGAACGCACCUUGCGCUCCUUGGUAUUCCGAGGAGCAUGCCUGUUUGAGUGUCAGU